GCCACAGCCACAGCAACACUGGGUCCCCCCAUCUAUGACCUAUGCCACAGCUUGCAGCAACACUGGAUCCUUAACUCACUGAGCAAGGCCAGGGAUUAAACCUGCAUCCUCAUGGACACUAUGUUGGGUUCUCAACCCACUAAGCCACAAUAGGAACUGCAAAAUUUAUUUCCUCACAGUCCUGAAGGCUACAAAUGCAAGAUCAAGAUGUCAGCAGGAUUAGUUCCUUGUGAGGCUUCUCUUCUUGGCUUGUAGGUGGCUAUCUUGCCCAUUUCCUCACUUGAUCUUCCCUCUAUAACUGCCUGUGGCCAAAUUUCUUCUUCCUGUAAGGAUGCCACUCGUAGAUAAGGACCCACUCUUCUGAUCCAAUUUUGGCUUAAUUUUUUUUUGUUUUUCUUUUUAGAGCUGCACCUGCUGCAUAUGGAAGUUCCUGGGCUAGGGGUCAAAUAUUUGUGUGUGUGUGUGUGUGUGUGUGUGUGUGUGUGUGACUUUUUAGUCCAAACAGAGGGAGGAUGGUAUUUAUUCAUCCUCUAAAAUUUCACCAACAGCCCCUCUUGUUCCCUUUCUUAAAUGCAUUGCCACACACAAUUUUGAAACUGAUUUCCCCCCCCCCCCCACCACCACUCUGUUCCCAUGCCAAGAACUAGGAAAAUUUUAAUCAGGGCACUGUUUAGUUUCAUUAAAGAAAAGGCAGGUCAGUGAUGCUCAAAGGCUGGCUCUCAGUAGGGGGAGGAUGCUGGGCUGUAUAUGACUAGGACCUGCAGAGAGUUCGAGACACGCCCUGGUGGGAACCUGCGGCUCUGGUGAUCCAGACGACGGGAAGUCUUCCCUCAGAAACUGUGCGAAGCAAUGAGAUCACCAUUUCCACAACCCAAUGGCAUUUACAGUUCGCCAAAAUAUCCUCCGUUAAUGUGUGCAUGGUGUGUAUACUUAGGUUCACAACUAAUUAUUAGGGCUUAAUCCCAGCUUAUCUUUCUUCAUGAGUUUUCCUCUCUGAUAUGUAUUUCUCUUGCCAAGUUCGAACUUGAGUGGUUUUCCCAAGGGAAAUAAAUUCUGCAUCCAGAGUGAUGGCUGAUUUUAUGGAAUUGUGUUAAUAUCUUCCACGACUGAAGAUGGCCAUUCAGAGCUUUGUUUCAGGGCCGUACAAACUUUAGGCACUUCCACACAAUGAAAGAAAGAAAUGACAGAUCUGUGGCAAUGAAGCACUUUUCUUGAUCAGUGUGAUUAUAUCAGAAUGCUCAACUUGGAUAUAUUGAUUUGUCUUUGAGACUGCUUUGUGCCACAUAAAUCUCAUAGAAAUAUCUUUACAGACUUGCCCCAGAAGGCCACUGCUUCCCUCCUCAGCAAAGACAAGCAAAGCCAGGGAGUCAUUUUUCAAAGUUUCAAACAGAAUGGUCCAUUUAUGAACUGACACUGGAUGGUUUCCUAUUCUGACAUUCAUAGGAUUUUAAAACAAAGAUGCAUUUUAUGAUUAACCUCAGCAUAGAGAAGUGAAGAGCUAUAUUUGUCUCUUUCGACUUACUUCAGUAACCUGAAUUUUUUAAAAAUCACCUUCAAGGAGAAUCAUAUUUAUUAUACUUCAAAAUUUCAGUUUAUAUGCACCGUUAUCCAGAGCAAUUUCUUUUUCCCUAUGUUUAAUAGCCAAGUAGUUGUUUGUUUGUUGGAGAUGUAUUCAUACUUUGGAAGAUUUGGCCACUGAUGGAAAAGAACAUUCUUCAGAGUGUGUCCCUCCUGACCCCCCACCCACCCUGGCCCCCGCUGCCUUAGUAUGGGAAAAGAGGUGCUAAAAAAAAUGGAUUUUAAAAUAUUGAUUAAAAAGUUUCUCAUUUGCUCUUUAUUCUGGGACACAGAACCUCAGUUUUCCAAUUUUUAAGAGCUAUAGUGAAAGGAGCAUCUUUUCUUUCUUCCCUUUUUUGAAUUGAAUGGCCUUGAACAAUGACUGAAUUACAAUUUACUUUUUUCCUUUAUCAAAUUGAGUUAUUGUGGCAUAAGUAGGCCAUGACAGAGAAAGAGGGCAGAUAGUUUAGCACAUUAUUUAUUUAAGAAUGUGGGUUUUGAGCCAGUGUGGCUUGAUAAAUCUAUUUGCUGGUUGGAUGAAACUGGUCAUGUGACUUACCCCCUAAGCCUUAUGUUCCCUAUCUGUGAAGUAGGCCUAAGAAUUGCUUUUUCCUCAUGUGGUUGUUUGAAAAAAAUAGUGAAAUAAUUUACAAACAUAGUGUGAUAUCAGCCGCAGCAUCAUUAUCAUUGUGAAAAUGAAUACUGAUUUAAUUAUUUUACUUCCCUAAAUAUAAGACACAGACUCAAAGAGAAAAGUAAAAUCCAUAAAACUCAAACUCUGUCCUGGGCAAAAUGGAUUGAAACCAGAUUAAUAUAUUUUGGAAUAUAUCUUUUGAGUAUCUAUAUUCAUAUAUAUAUUUGCAUAUAUAUAUACAUGCACACAUAGACGUACAUGAAUAUUUAUAUAAAAAUAUAAAAUAAAUCUAUUUAUACUCAGUUGAAAUUUCACAGAAACUUUAAAUAACAACCUGAAAUGUAUUUACCAAGAUUUUAUAUUAUAACUAUACUUUCAAAUGCAAAACCAUUUUCUAAAUAAAAAAAUAUUUAGUCACAAGUACAAAAUUUGAAUAAGAUUUAAUAAUCUCCCUUAGGAACUGAUUUUAAGGUUUAAAUUGUCUUUUUAAACUGCAUUAACUUUUAAAUCCUUCUUAUAAUGUCUUCAUAUUUAAGCUUCAGUGGAGAAAGAGAGGAGCUCACCAUUCUCUCCCUUAUUUAAAAAUAUUCCUGGAUUUAAAAACAUUAAGAGCUUCUGCUUGAAGAUGGCAGCGUAAAGAUAAUUAUAUUAAGCUCCACUCUCUAAUAUCAACGGAAAGCAACACAAAUUCUAAAAGAGAGUCCAUCUUUAAUGAAACCAGGAGACAGACACAACCCCAAACUAUAAAGAAUUGCUUCUAAAUAUAGGGACAUUUGGCCUCAAUUCCAAAAGGACGCCAAAAGUAGAUUCACACUUGACAGUAUAUGCACACACUGUAGAGUUUUCCAGUAGUAGGUGGCGCAUCUCAGAAGCGCUUCACCAGUUAUCCCUUACUGGAAACAAUUCCACAUCCCCCACUGAGGAACUAGACCACAUGGGACUUGAAGGGAAAAAAUCCAUUAACUUUGCAGGAGACAUCCUGGAGGCAUACAAUGGGAAUAAUAUUAGCACUAAUCACAGUAUCAACAAUAACAAUGGCUGAUGGUUAUGGAAUGCUUACUAUGUGCUAGGCUUAUAUAUACCAACUCAGGCAAUCCUCACAGUAGUAGCUUUACGGAGAGGGUAGUACCAUGAUCCCAAUUUUACCCAUCCAUUACCGACCCUGACUUUUUAUCCUCUGCACCCUUUUUAAAGGAGAAUGAAAAUAAAUGUCAAGUCACCACAAGAGAACUUGAGCCUUAUGGGGCUUCCCCAUAAGCCUCAAAAUCUUCUGCUCCCUCCGAGAAGGAAUGCAAGUCAUGAGGCGGAGACGUGCUUGAAGCAAAGGCACAGCAGAGCUGAUGAGAAAGUCUUCUGAGAUGAAUGCUUCAACAAGGCUUCUGUGAUUCUGGCUCUCUCCCCUGUUCCUUCCCAAAGUGACUCUUGUGCCAAAAGCUGAAUAAGAUAGACCUGCCCUCAUUGAAAGAUGAGUCAUAAUUAGAAAGAAACUAGCAUAGGCUAAUGUGUAGAUAUUUAAAAGAUAGAAAAACCAGAAAAACAUGAAGAAACAAAUAGCCAAUGUGGUGAGUUGGAAGAAAAAAAUUUUUAAAAAGCAAGCAGAUAAUACACAUCAGAAAACGAAUUAAAUCAUGAAAUGAAUAGAAUUUCAAACACUUUUCAGCAAAAAGAGAAUAGAAAUCAUGGGAACCCCUAACAUUUUAAAAAUAAAGAGAAAAAAAGCCCACUGCCAUAAAAAAAGACUUGAUUCUGGGGAAGGUGCACACCAUGUCCUUAUGCCUUAGGACAGCUGGCAAUGGUAAAGUUGCUGGACCUCAAGAAUAAAGAACCUCCCACAGUUAGAAGAGUACUUAUUACAAUAGACAUUCAACUAAUACUUGUUGAAUCAGUGUAUAAAACCAAGGCAGAAAAUCAAGACAUUCACCUAUAUUAAGGGAAAACCACACCAGCAUUAAACUUCCUAGCAAUAAUGCUAGAAAAUGCUAAGGCAAUUACUACAAAGUCUUCAGGGACAGAAAGUGUGUUCUGAGAUUCUUAUACUCAAUUAAAUGUCAUUCGAGUAUAUAGGACACAAACAGAUUAUUUUGACACACCAAAGAACCAGGCAACAUGGCACUCGUUAAUUUUUGUGGGGGAAUUCUAUUUGAUUAUGAAGUCUAGUCAAUCAAGAGAUAAGAGAGAAAUAAAAAUAAAGAGUUCAGGAAUAAAUUAAUGAGAAUAUUGAUACUAUUUAGAUAUAGCACCAGAACUAAAUACCUGGGAAUUAUGGCCUUAGAAGAGAAGACAAAGGUUAUAAAUUGUAACAACAUAGAAAUAAUGAUCUCAGUACAAUAAUCAGGAAGUCAGAAGAAAGUAGAGAUGGGAGGAAGCGUUCGUUCCCUCUUAUUUCAUUAUGAAGCAUGAGAAGUUCUAAUAAAUGCUUAUAAUU
rnacentral:lncRNA from 1 species